GGAACAACAGCAACUCAGCCACAAUGCGGCAGGCCACGUGUGCAGAAGUACACUUACAUCACCAAGUGCAAUGCAAAGUGUCGGAUGCAGUUGUGUAAAGCACGCUGCUACUGGCUUCUAGAGCAGUGGAGAUGAGUUCUCUGGAGUGACCAAUCACAUUUCUCUGUCUGGCAAUCUGAUGGACGAUUUUGGUUUUUGGCAGUUGCCAGGAGAACAGUACUUGCCUGACUAUUGUGCCAGGUAGGAACUUGACUGGCCUGCACAGAGUCCUGACCUCAACCUGAUAAAAUACCUUUGGGAUGAAUUAGAGUGGAGACUGUGAGCCAGGCCUUCUCGUCCAACAUCGGUGCCUAAACUCACAAAUGCGCUUAUUGAAGAAUGGUCAAAAAGUCCCAUAAACACAUUCUUAAACCAAUUCCUAAAACAAGUCCAUAUUAAACCCUACAAAGUAAGAAUAGGAUGUCAUUUAAAGUUCAAGUGCAUGUAAAAGCAGGUGUUCCAGAACAUUUGGCAAUAAAGUGUGUCAUGCAUAUGAAAAGAAAACAUGGCAGAUGUGUUAUUUAUUAAAUUAAAUUACUAUAGACGUUUACAUAAUGAUAAAAUUAUGAUCUGCUAUUGAUAUCUUCACUUAGAGGCAUUUAUUAAAUGAAGCUGAUAUUUUGUUUAAUAUAUCAUAUAUUAUUUUAAUAAAUAGAUCUUUAUUUGUGAUUGCUUUUCAGUUUUGUAUUCCAAAGUAAAGCAGUUGUUUAAUGAUUGAUGCCCUGCUGACAAACACAUUUCUGCUGACUAAUUAGUUGUCAUUAAAUCAGUGUGCUCAUGCAAAGUA